GCCAGGAGGGUGGUCGUGUGUUCGGUAGUUUUAAACUACCGAACCAAUAGAUUCAACAUGUACAAAAUACUGCAGAAAAAGCCCAAACAUAGGAGAAAGUACCGAACUAAGUCUAUUUUCUUCACAGUGUGUAAGGGAUGUAUUGUGUUUUUCUGGUUGUGUGUGAGUGAUGCAUUGUGUGAAUUUGUGUUUGUAUGUGUAAGGGAUGCAAG